CGGUGCACUCAUCUCUAUGAUGGUGUGUGGAGGCCCCAGCGGAAAGUAGUGCUUUGUAAAUGUGUGCUUUGAUGCAUAGUUACGAUGGGGUGGUAAAAAAAAAAUUGCAGGCGUAGGAAGGGCGCCGUUUUGGCGCAGAAAGUCAACUUUCUGAUCUUGGGAAAAGCUUCCGAAAGAGGCUCUCAAAUUGGGGACCUGGCCCCGAGAGUAAUACUCCAAUGCAGUAUGGUGCGUGUAAUCGGCCUGUGAGUGCGUCUGUUGGCUGCCCCCAUCCUCUUUUCCUCCGAAGAAGAUACGGGCAUACGGGUCUCUGGCAGUGUCGUGUGCUCCGAAUCCUACCCUUGACGGCACAGCUCCGUGUCCGCACGGCGGCGCCACUGCAAGAUCUCGGCGCACAGUACCAGGGGAAGCCGGAUCGACACUUGACCACUGGCAACCAAGUCCCUGACCAACAUCGAAAGGUUCUGUGAAACGUAUAGGAGCGCUUUCAAUGCAGCCGCUUGAUGAGGAGGGCCCAGGAGCUUUUACUAGGUCAAAUGGCCGGUCGUCCAGGCGAGCCAGACUUGCUUCUGGUGUCCUGCGACUGUCGGCGUACUUGGAGCACCUGAGGAGGAUGUGCUCUGUGUCCUGCACAACAUCGCACUCACUGCAGUUUCGAGAUGGUGACUUUUGUAGCCUGUGAAGCAGAGCAAACCCUUUGUUCUUGAUUCGGCUGCGAAGGACAGG